rnacentral:tRNA from 1 species
GGCUCAGUUGGUAAAGCAUCUGCCUGCAAUGCAGGAGACCCUGGUUCAAUCCCUGG